CGGGGCGGGGGCAGAUCCCUCCAGGCUGUGAACCAGUGAAGACAACCCACCUUUGCUCUGAGAUGGGCAGGCAGGAGCCCGCGCUGCUGCCAUAGAGCCGGAGGGAGGGCUCGCCCCCUUUGCUUCUAUCCGCUCGCUCCCCGCCCGCUGCUGCGCACCUGCAGCCCAGCUCAGGCGUCCUCUAGCGGGAAGCGGCCGCCCUGGAGCCUGGAUUCCGUGCGACUCUCCCACCCGCAAGGGGUUAAACGCUUCCGACGCGGUUUCGGUGUCGGAACGAGCGCGGAGCGGAGGAGAGAGAGCCGGGAAGCGGGGACCUGCGAGAAGCUGCGGUGCCAGGCAGCGAGAGGCGCCUAAGGAGCCGGCAUGGGCCAGCGGGGGGAAAGCGCCCUGCGCGCCCACCCGCUGUGACGGCCGCCUGGCGUGGCGCGCCCAGGCUGGGCUUGGCCGGGGCAGCUCCGGAGCGCCCUUCACCUGUGGGCGUGACCCGCUUCCCCCUCCCUCCUGGGAUUGCCAGGGCCGCCGCCGCAGCCGGGGCUGCAGCAGCAGAGGCGCCAAGGGGCUGAGAGCGGAGCCGGUGCUUGGAGCGAAGCGGCCAGGGGGAGCUGCGGCGGCGGCCCCAGCGCCUCUGUGUAAAGUGUCCCGUGAGCCAGGGAUUCUUGCUGCCCCUUCUCCAUCCAAGCCCCGAGCAGCCGGCGGGAGGGGAGACCUGGCUCGGCUGGCAGCGCCUGCUCCGGGGCUCCCCGGCCGGCGUGUCUGCCUGGCUCUGCCGCCGUUCCCAGCUGUUGGCAGGCGCAGCUCCCAGCCCAGCCCAGCCCCCGCCGGCCUUGGGAGCGGAUCUGCCUGAGUUCCCUGCCGCUGUGGAGUUACCGGCAGUCACCUGGCCAGCCGGGGGCGGCCCGUGAAUCGGCCCCCACCCCGUGUGCUGCGCCCCAAUGCUGGAUGGGACUGUGAAGUAGCUGCAGUUGGGCAGGGAGUUACCCUAAAGCUGCAUUUGGGCUGGAAAGUGGGGAGGUUUCCAUCCGAGUCUCCUCGUGACUGUAAGUGAUUUAAGAAAAUUCAGGGGGUGGCUUUUUUUUCCCGCGGGGAGGGGGCGGAAACGAGCAAACCAACAAAAAACUUUCUCAAAUAAAAAGCCUAAUUUGUGGCUCAGUAGCACUAGGCAUCUUAACCCCAACAACAUCCAAAACGCUAGUGAAUCGGUGCCACUGUACAGGAGGAAACCCAUCGGAAGCCCCCCCCCCAAGCACAGAGGUUUUUCGAUGCUUUAGAAUUAUUUUGCUUUCUCGCUGAAAGAUGCUUCCUGCAGGGUUGCCGAUGCUCAACCCUUGGAUCUUGUGAAGAUGUUUUUCUUUGGGAUUACACGUGGAGAAAGGCGAUCCGUCAAGGGGAGAACUGGCUGGUGAAACUAACUGACAUUCUUGCUCCGGGGAAGUGGUUUCAAUGGCUUCAUCUCCCAGGACAAGCAGUAGAAAAGAUGCCAACGCAUUGCCAAGCAUGUCCUCAACUUUCUGGGCAAUCAUGAUCCUGGCUAGUCUUCUAAUCGCCUACUGCAGUCAACUGGCUGCAGGUACAUGUGAGAUUGUUACUUUGGACAGAGAUAGCAGCCAGCCCCGAAGGACUAUAGCCCGACAAACAGCUCGCUGUGCAUGUAAAAAAGGACAGAUUGCCGGUACAACAAGAGCAAGGCCAGCCUGCGUGGAUGCACGAAUUAUCAAAACAAAACAGUGGUGUGAAAUGCUUCCAUGUUUAGAAGGAGAAGGCUGUGAUUUGCUAAUCAAUAAAUCAGGCUGGACCUGUACACAACCGGGUGGGCGAAUAAAGACAACCACGAAAUCUGAUCACCACAGAACUCCUUGCCAAAAUUCAACAGAAACCAGGGGGUAUUGGGGAUCUUGCCAAAGAAUUUAGAUCCAAUAUGCUGCACAAUACACAGGGCUCUGCCUCUGAUAGACAGCGACACACUGGUCUCCUGACAAAUGCAGCAGCAAAGAAUUCUCGUAUGAGUGGUCUAGGUUCUGUGUGAGCUACUUACCUUAGUCAAGUUUCACUGCUGUGGAUCAUCAUCCAUUAUAUGUCAUCAAUUCAACUGUCUGUUUCUCUAUAUCUCAUAAAAGACAGCAUAAUUCCUCUACAUUAUGAGCUAAAAGUCUGUUCUACCAUUCUAAGGAGCACUGGACUAAGGAAUAUAGAUAUAAGAGAUACGCUUGGGCAUUAGCAAUACAAAAAGUUCAUGGUUAACGUUUCAUCUGCGUUAUACACCACUGCUGGACUUGAUGUUACCUACAUGUUUUGAUCUGAAGAGUCUACUGCACUGAAGAGUAUUCAUCCCAAUCAGCCUUAGAGAAGACUGUUUUGUCUAUGGGAGGACACUGAGGUGCAAAAGAGAAUCUCUUCUUGUGCCCUGGACUGUCUGAAUUGCUUUUAUUUUCUUAUUCUUUCAGUAUAUACAAUAGACCAAAGAGCAAAAUCUAUUUUAAAGUGGACACAAUCUUACUGUUAAGAGAGCUAUCUGGGUUAAAUUGUAGAGUGGUCUCCACAAAGACAUGAUUUCAACUCUCACAAAGCUGAGAUGUUCCUGUACAGCAGAAGUCUUUAUGGAACACUGCAGUAAAAACUAAACUAGAAAAUUACUCUUGAAAACCACAUUAUAAACAAUGAAAUGGAGCAUGGUGAGAAAACAGCGUAUGUUUGAAAAACUACAAACUGUCUACAUGGCACCUUUAUUCCUCUGUACUUAGACUGACUUUCUCGUACUAAAAUAAUUUUCAGUUUUAACCAGUUAAACAUGCCUCUUCUACAGUUCCAUUUUUUGAUAGUUAAAAUUGGAUAAUACAGUAUUUGCAAAGAGCAUGUUUGGUCAUCUGUGGCCUAUGUCUCAUCUGAUACACCAUUUAGCACCAGAAAGCAAAUUAAAGAAAAAAAAAAGUAACACUUGUUUGAAAGAGAUCAUUAAAUGUAUUUUGAAAAGCCUAAAGUUAUAUAUUUAACAGUUUUUAUAUGUUGUAUAUUUGUAGAAAAUCCUAUUUAACAAUUAACGUGGUAACUCUGACGGUCAUGACAAAUGGUUCAGAGUUAAGUUGUGUUUUAUUACUUCAGUUGUCUCUAAAGUGACAGGUGUCAUUUGCUUUCUUCCAUUAGGACAUUCUGGAUGUAAAGCAUGACCAGAGAGGACUCUGUAGAAAAAGCAAAGAACAAUGUUGUUUCUAUUACAUAAAUGCAUUCAACCAUUGCACUGUUGGAAGGCAUUUUUUUUUGUCUUUAUGUACUGGUAAAAAUAGAGUGUAAAAUAUUUUAAUCAUGGCUUUCCAUACCGAGGUUUUUUUUUUUCUCUCUCUCUCUCUCUCUCUCUCUCUCUCCUUCUCCCCACCCUCCUCUACAUAAUACAGUAUAAAGGUCAAUUUGCGGCCUGUUCCUUGACCCAGAUUCAAUGUUUUACCUCAUCGUUAAAAAACCCACUUUUUUGGCAUUAUCAGGUAGUGAAAAGUUAAUGCAGAGACAGCAUAGAAAAGAGGGGAAAUAAAGAUAAAAAGAUCCCUCACUCCCUAUUACUGUACCUUUCUAUAUAUGUCUGGUACAUAUUGAUAUGAUGAAAUCAACAAAUGAGCUUAGCUUCUUCCUGGCAAAUGUAUUCCAGUUUUAACUAUUUCUCCAAGUUUCCACUGUAGUAUACUACCUAAUACUCCAAUUAACUUUUAGUACUAUGCUAGUUCUAUGCUACUAAAGAAAAAUAUAUAGAGACUGUUCAAGCAACCAUAGAUAAAAAAAUACAAAAACAAAAGGUUAUUUUUUUUGUAAGGCCUGUUCCACUAUUCAGGCUUAUUUAAUACACAGGUUGCAGAAACCAUGAAUUAUAGGUGACUGUGUCUUUUGAGUAAAAUAAAUAUAUAAGAAUUUCUUAUUUAAACUUAAGGUUUUCGACCAGUAUCAAAGUAGCAAUUCAAUGCCAGUCACUUGAAAAGUGUUAUGAACUGACUGCACUAUAAAUGACCAAUGUCUGGUUUAAAAUGUCAUGCAAUAAACGAUGGUAAAUACAUUUACUGUACUACUAGAACUCAAGAGCCAGAUCCCUCAC